rnacentral:rRNA from 1 species
UACAGAGGUCUCAAGCGUUGUUCGGAUUCAUUGGGCGUAAAGGGUGCGUAGGCGGCGCGGUAAGUCGGGUGUGAAAUCUCGGAGCUUAACUCCGAAACUGCAUUCGAUACUGCCGUGCUUGAGGACUGGAGAGGAGACUGGAAUUUACGGUGUAGCGGUGAAAUGCGUAGAUAUCGUAAGGAAGACCAGUGGCGAAGGCGGGUCUCUGGACAGUUCCUGACACUGAUGAGCGAAAGCCAGGGGAGCAAACGGG